CUACGGGGCGCUGCAGGCGAGAAACCUUUGCAAUGUGCGCAAGCACGACAAGGUUAAUCCGAGUGUUUCCUGCUAAAGGAAUCUUUUGUUAGUCGUAAAACCACUGAUGAAUAAGGGGUGGGCAAGUUCUGGUGUCAGCCGCCGGCGGUAAAACCAGCACCCCAAGUGGUCAGGAUGAUUAUUGGGCCUAAAGCAUCCGUAGCCUGUUCUGUAAGUUUUCGGUUAAAUCCAUUAGCUCAACUAAUGGGCUGCCGAAAAUACUGCAAAACUAGGGAGUGGGAGAGGUAGACGGUACUCGGUAGGAAGGGGUAAAAUCCUUUGAUCUAUUGAUGACCACCUGUGGCGAAGGCGGUCUACCAGAACACGUUCGACGGUGAGGGAUGAAAGCUGGGGGAGCAAACCGGAUUAGAUACCCGAGUAGUC
rnacentral:rRNA from 1 species